UUUUUUUUUUUUUUUUUUUGUCUUUUAACUCUUCAAUCUUCGGCUGUGGGUUAAUUCAGACCGAGGACGUCGUUACUGGCCUAGCCCACACUAACGAAGACUGAAUAGCAACGGAAAUGAUAUU
rnacentral:ribozyme from 12 species